rnacentral:misc_RNA from 1 species
AAUUGUAAAUUAGUCCCUCUACUUCAUCUGAAUUACGCUUCUGCCAUUCUGGUUAUGUUCACUGCCGGUCACCGGAAAACUGACAGGUAUUCAUCCGCUACCGUCGCACAGGUAAACAUUAAAGCGUAAAUGCCUUCUCCGAGAAAUCACCGGAGAGGAGGUAGUGAGGAGAAGAAUCGGAAGGGGAAGUUAUCGGAGAAAUCAAUGUCGUUUCACGUACAGAGUUCGGAGGGUAGUACGUCGGAGUUGCUGCGAAGGCCGAGAACAGUACCGGAUUUGCUCUCCGCCGGUAGAAUUUCAGCCGGAACCGGUAAAUCGCCGGAAAUGAAGGACAAAUUGAAGCUAACGAAGCUGCUGUUGAAUGUUACGAUUCAGAGAAGUAUAGGUCCUGUACAUGUUCUAAUUUCGCUUGAAUCGACGGUUCAGGAUCUCAUCGCUGCCGCUCUCCGGCAAUACUCGAAAGAAGGAAGGCGGCCGGUUCUUACAUCCGUCAAUCCCGCCGAUUACGAUCUUCAUUACUCGCAGUUCAGUUUAGAAAGUAAGAACUGUUUAAUCCACUUCAUCGCUGAAUCUGAACCGUUGAUUUUCACGGCGAACUGAUAUUUUUCCCGUUCCAGGUUUAGACAGGGAAGAGAAACUGAUCGGAUUAGGUUCUAGAAACUUCUUUCUAUGUCCAAAAACGUCAAAUUCCGCCGGCGCCGGUGCCGGAACAUCGUCUUCUUCUUCGAGCUGUGCAAAGCAAGCUGAUAAAGCUACUGCUACAAAAAUUUCAUUACCUUGGCUCAAAUUCAUGGAUUUCAUGCUGUGAAGAAAUUAUACUCCAAAUUUGUCACUGUAAGGAGGAGGAAAACUAACCAGCACUAAGAAAGUGAUGUCAUACCGAUCGAGGAUGAAACAAAAUCAGCAGCUGUUCUUGGCAUAGCCCACUUCAUUCCCAACAAAUAUAGGAACAUCUGUCAAAUCUGUGUAGAUGAUAUAGAGCAAUGUAAGAAAAUAUGGUAAACUGAUUCCACCUCUAUUCAGCACAUGUAGCAGACUAGCUGUACCCGUCUUUUGUAGAUUGUCUUGAGUCGACCACACAACUUACUUUUCUGUAUCCUCUUAAAUACACCAAAAGAAAGUUGAUUAGUACCUGUGGGCUGUGAGUAGUAUCUUGUAACAGAGCUGACUGUGAAUGAACCACAAGUCCUGCAAUCCACAAAUUAACGGAUCAUUACUGUUGUUCGAACGAGAAACUGAGGAUCAAAGGUUGGAAAGAGAGUAGUAUUUUCAUGUAGGAUCAACAUGAAACAGAGUGAUUAGAGUUGUGUACUAGUUAUGGGAAUCAAAGGUGAUUAAAGUUGUGUACCAAGACACGUUCUACCCUACUUAAAUCCAUGCUUUCAACUUAUGGAAGAUCUCGAAGAAUGUGCUAUGUACCAGAGGAAUGUACAAGGUCUAGAGCUAGUUUACAUAUAUGGUUCUACCCUACUUA